GACGAACGCUGGCGGCGUGCUUAACACAUGCAAGUCGAACGGAAAGGCCCUGCUUUUGUGGGGUGCUCGAGUGGCGAACGGGUGAGUAACACGUGAGUAACCUGCCCUUGACUUUGGGAUAACUUCAGGAAACUGGGGCUAAUACCGGAUAGGAGCUCCUGCUGCAUGGUGGGGGUUGGAAAGUUUCGGCGGUUGGGGAUGGACUCGCGGCUUAUCAGCUUGUUGGUGGGGUAGUGGCUUACCAAGGCUUUGACGGGUAGCCGGCCUGAGAGGGUGACCGGGCACAUUGGGACUGAGAUACGGACCAGACUCCUACGGGAGGCAGCAGUGGGGAAUAUUGCACAAUGGGCGGAAGCCUGAUGCAGCAACGCCGCGUGCGGGAUGACGGCCUUCGGGUUGUAAACCGCUUUCGCAUGUGACGAAGCGUGAGUGACGGUAAUGGGUAAAGAAGCACCGGCUAACUACGUG
rnacentral:rRNA from 1 species